rnacentral:snoRNA from 1 species
AAGCACUGCCAGUGAACCUGAUGUGUCUUCUUGGGUGUCAUGGGACAAGUAAAAUGUCAGAGCCUAGCAACUUGUGAUAACUAGGGCUCUUCAGCUGUCAGUUGAACUGCUCCUUUAAAAACAAGGUACAUUU